rnacentral:lncRNA from 1 species
UUGGAAACUCGUGUGUGUUCAUGUACUUAGUACAAAAUGAAGAACACACCCAAGUCAACUGUGCAUGGAUAAUGUUAGUAAUUCUACUACAUCAAAAACAAAAAAUAUAAUUCAACAAAAAAUGUUUAACAUAUACUGAAAUAAAACUAAAGAAACUGGAAAAAAAACUUCUUAAUGAUAUCACCCAUGUUGUACCGAUCAAUAACUCUCAUUGGAAACCUCAUCGUCAUCUUCUCCUUGAU